CAGCACCUCAAGUGGUCAGGAUGAUUAUUGGGCCUAAAGCAUCCGUAGCCGGCUCUGUAAGUUUUCGGUUAAAUCUGUAUGCUCAACAUACAGGCUGCCGGGAAUACUGCAGAGCUAGGGAGUGGGAGAGGUAGACGGUACUCGGUAGGAAGGGGUAAAAUCCUUUGAUCUAUUGAUGACCACCUGUGGCGAAGGCGUUCUACCAGAACACGUCCGACGGUGAGGGAUGAAAGCUGGGGGAGCAAACCGGAUUAGAUACCCGAGUAGUCC
rnacentral:rRNA from 1 species